rnacentral:rRNA from 1 species
GACGAACGCUGGCGGCGUGCUUAACACAUGCAAGUCGAACGGAAAGGCCCUGCUUUUGUGGGGUGCUCGAGUGGCGAACGGGUGAGUAACACGUGAGUAACCUGCCCUUGACUUUGGGAUAACUUCAGGAAACUGGGGCUAAUACCGGAUAGGAGCUCCUGCUGCAUGGUGGGGGUUGGAAAGCUUCGGCGGUUGGGGAUGGACCCGCGGCUUAUCAGCUUGUUGGUGGGGUAGUGGCUUACCAAGGCUUUGACGGGUAGCCGGCCUGAGAGGGUGACCGGCCACAUUGGGACUGAGAUACGGCCCAGACUCCUACGGGAGGCAGCAGUGGGGAAUAUUGCACAAUGGGCGGAAGCCUGAUGCAGCAACGCCGCGUGCGGGAUGACGGCCUUCGGGUUGUAAACCGCUUUCGCCUGUGACGAAGCGUGAGUGACGGUAAUGGGUAAAGAAGCACCGGCUAACUACGUG